GGGGGCGACUGGCUUCGACGGGGUUAGUGAAGCUGUGGCCGCGUGCCCAGGUACUCAGGUCCUGGUAAAACCUCUGGGGAUUUUUACAACUGCCAACCAAAACUUGGCCCUGGCUGCGUAACUCUUAGGAGUUGCUGCACCUGCCCUUGAAGAAGCUCUCCUGAGGCGGCUUUGAGGGUAUCGAAAAUUCGGGAUAGUUGGCUGCUGCGUCU
rnacentral:tmRNA from 1 species